rnacentral:rRNA from 1 species
UAUCCUUUGUUGCCAGCGGUCCGGCCGGGAACUCAAAGGAGACUGCCAGUGAUAAACUGGAGGAAGGUGGGGAUGACGUCAAGUCAUCAUGGCCCUUACGACCAGGGCUACACACGUGCUACAAUGGCGCAUACAAAGAGAAGCGACCUCGCGAGAGCAAGCGGACCUCAUAAAGUGCGUCGUAGUCCGGAUUGGAGUCUGCAACUCGACUCCAUGAAGUCGGAAUCGCUAGUAAUCGUGGAUCAGAAUGCCACGGUGAAUACGUUCCCGGGCCUUGUACACACCGCCCGUCACACCAUGGGAGUGGGUUGCAAAAGAAGUAGGUAGCUUAACCUUCGGGAGGGCGCUUACCACUUUGUGAUUCAUGACUGGGGUGAAGUCGUAACAAGGUAACCGUAGGGGAACCUGCGGUUGGAUCAC